GUUUGUUCUAUAGUUGUGAGCUGACCACAUGCAGGAGUAAUAGCAUAAUUUUUCUCGAGUGACAAUGUAGCUUGUUGAUAUUUAUAUUAUUUGUGUUCUACCCUGGGAGAUGUUUGAUAACCUCAAGACUGAGAACCGCGAGGCACAAAUAAAGCUAAAAGGCCUGGAGGAGAUAGACGAUUUGAAAGAAAGUGAGCUUGUUUAUUAUUGGUUGUAGUCAAGGGUUAAUUCAUUUAAGUUUAUAGCUUGUAGUGUUUUAGGAUGAUCAUAUGCAUGCUUUGCCAAAAUAUAUACAAUUCAACAGUCC
rnacentral:lncRNA from 1 species